GGUUGCCGAUCGGUAUGAGACCACCGCAAAGGCUCGUUCACACAAGUGCCAACGAUAAUCAGGCUCUUGCGAUUGCCGCGUAACUGACGGCCUAACGGUCAGAAGUUACUAGGACAAAAGCGCGGUUGGACCCAACCGGGCAACAGAAUGGGAUUCCAGCGGUACGGGAGGCACCGGGCAACAGAAGCCUCCCACU
rnacentral:tmRNA from 1 species